rnacentral:rRNA from 1 species
AUGGCGAGGCUCGAGGCGGCGGCGCUGCUGCUGGCCGCGGCGGCGGCUGCGCUGUUGGCCACGGCGGCGGAGGGGCUGGGCGUGAACUGGGGCACGCAGGCGUCGCACCCGCUGCCGCCCAAGGUGGUGGUGCAGCUGCUCAAGGACAACGGCAUCAACAAGGUGAAGCUCUUCGAGACCAACCCGGAGGCCAUGAAGGCGCUCGCCGGCAGCGGGGUCGAGGUCAUGCUCGCCAUCCCCAACGACAUGCUCCACCGCAUCGCCGGCGACUCGGCCGCCGCCAGGGACUGGGUCAAGCGCAACGUCAAGCGCUUCGACUUCGACGGCGGCGUCGUCAUCAAGUACGUGGCUGUGGGCAACGAGCCAUUCUUGGCAGCGUACAAGGGGUCGUUCAUGAAGGUCACCUUGCCGGCGCUGGAGAACAUCCAGAACGCGCUCAACGACGCCGGCGUCGGCGACCGGAUCAAGGCGACGGUCCCUCUCAACGCCGACGUGUACAACUCCCCGGCCAGGAACCCCGUGCCGUCGGCGGGCCGGUUCCGCGCCGAGAUCUCCGGCGUCAUGACGGACAUGGUCAAGUUCCUGGCCAAGAACAAGGCGCCCUUCACCGUCAACAUCUACCCCUUCCUCAGCCUCUACCUCGACGACAACUUCCCCCUGGACUUCGCCUUCUUCGACGGCGGGGCGACGCCGGUGAACGACAACGGUGUGAUGUACACCAACGUGUACGACGCCAACUUCGACACGCUGGUCGCGGCGCUGGCGGCAGUGGGGCACGGCGACAUGCCGAUCAUUGUCGGCGAGGUGGGGUGGCCCACGGACGGCGACAGGCACGCCAAGGCGUCCUAUGCGCGGCGCUUCUAUGACGGGCUGUUGAAGCGGCUGGCGGCGAACCGCGGCACGCCGGCGAGGCCGAACCGGCACAUCGAGACGUACCUGUUCGGGGUGGUGGACGAGGACCGGAAGAGCGUGCAGCCAGGCAGCUUCGAGCGGCACUGGGGCAUCUUCCGGUACGACGGGCAGCCCAAGUUCGCCAUGGACCUCAGCGGGCAGGGCCGAAACACAAUGCUGGUGCCGGCCAAGGGCGUGCAGUACCUGUCCAGAACGUGGUGCGCGCUCAACCCCAAGGCCAGCAGGGACGAUCUCAACAAGCUCCUCGGCGCCAAGAUCGACUACGCGUGCAGCAACGCGGACUGCACGACGCUGGGGUACGGCUCGUCGUGCAACGGCAUGGACGCCAGGGGCAACGCCUCCUACGCCUUCAACGCCUACUACCAGACGCAGAGCCAGGAGGACGAGGCCUGUGACUUCCAGGGCCUCGCGCUGCCCACCCAGACGGAUCCCUCCACGGCGACGUGCAACUUCACCAUCCAGAUAGCCACCUCGGGGGCGGCGGCAGCAACGCAGCUCGGCGUGGCGCCGGCGGCUGCCGCCCUGCUGGUGGCGUUGCUCCAGCUCUCACUGUUGUAG